CGCAAGCCUGACGGAGCAAUACCGCGUGAGGGAGGAAGGUUCUUGGAUUGUAAACCUCUUUUCUCAGGGAAGAAAAAAAUGACGGUACCUGAGGAAUAAGCAUCGGCUAACUCCGUGCCAGCAGCCGCGGUAAUACGGGGGAUGCAAGCGUUAUCCGGAAUCAUUGGGCGUAAAGCGUCCGCAGGUGGCAAUGUAAGUCUGCUGUCAAAACCCAGGGCUCAACUCUGGUCAGGCAGUGGAAACUACAUAGCUAGAGUUCGGUAGGGGCAAAGGGAAUUCCCGGUGUAGCGGUGAAAUGCGUAGAGAUCGGGAAGAACAUCGGUGGCGAAAGCGCUUUGCUAGACCGAAACUGACACUCAGGGACGAAAGCUAGGGGAGCG
rnacentral:rRNA from 1 species